rnacentral:precursor_RNA from 15 species
UUCCUACUAAUUUCUGAAAAAUAAGCCAUCAAAUGCGUCUAGUAUCAAAAUCAUGUAAAAACUGUAAAACAGAUUUUGUAUGAGACGCAUUUCGAUGACGGGCACAACAGAGACACCGCCCAUAA